UUAAGGCCCAGAUGGUGAAACUCCUUCAGUUGUGGCAGGAAUCAUGGGAGGCGUUUCUAUUCUGAUCCUCUGUGCAGCGGCUUUGUGGUUUAAAGGUUCCUGCUUAUCUAUUGAUCAAGAUGCAGGGCACAAGGAACAGCACAGCUCAUUAUCGGAAAAUGACAUUUCCAUGAAAAAGACCAUUGCUUUUCUCCAGUCACUGGAUUCCAUGUGGAAACAAAACGCUGAGACAGGACGACUGUUAACCCAUCAAAUGCCAGCAGUCAGGUUGGGAACCAUAAAGGUGAGAGCCCACAGAGCCCACAAUGUGUCAAGUGACGCCGCCCACAAUGUGUCAAGUGACGCCGCC